UGGAUUAGAUACCCUGUAGUCCACGCCGUAAACGAUGAGUGCUAAGUGUUAGGGGGUUUCCGCCCCUUAGUGCUGCAGCUAACGCAUUAAGCACUCCGCCUGGGGAGUACGGUCGCAAGACUGAAACUCAAAGGAAUUGACGGGGGCCCGCACAAGCGGUGGAGCAUGUGGUUUAAUUCGAAGCAACGCGAAGAACCUUACCAGGUCUUGACAUCCUCUGACAAUCCUAGAGAUAGGACGUCCCCUUCGGGGGCAGAGUGACAGGUGGUGCAUGGUUGUCGUCAGCUCGUGUCGUGAGAUGUUGGGUUAAGUCCCGCAACGAGCGCAACCCUUGAUCUUAGUUGCCAGCAUUCAGUUGGGCACUCUAAGGUGACUGCCGGUGACAAACCGGAGGAAGGUGGGGAUGACGUCAAAUCAUCAUGCCCCUUAUGACCUGGGCUACACACGUGCUACAAUGGACAGAACAAAGGGCAGCGAAACCGCGAGGUUAAGCCAAUCCCACAAAUCUGUUCUCAGUUCGGAUCGCAGUCUGCAACUCGACUGCGUGAAGCUGGAAUCGCUAGUAAUCGCGGUCAGCAUGCCGCGGUGAAUACGUUCCCGGGCCUUGUACACACCGCCCGUCACACCACGAGAGUUUGUAACACGCGAAGUCGG
rnacentral:rRNA from 1 species